rnacentral:lncRNA from 1 species
CUUGAAGCACCUAGGUAUGCAAACUCCUCUCCAAGAGAUACUUUGAUUCCUGCCCAGAGAGGAACAGAAGGAGUUUAGAGGCUAGUCGCGUUAUUCUGAGACAGUUACAAGACUGAAAUUAUGUCUCCCCACCCUAACUUCCCUCCUCUCCUCCAUGUAUCACUGUACUAACACACUAUUUUUUGAUUUAAGCCAUUCCUGGUCGCUAUUCUUUAAAGAGGGAAAGGCUGACAUCUAUAAGCUUGAUUCCUUCUGUAAAAUGCUAUUACACACGUGUACACACACACACACACAUUGUGGAUGUGGAGUAAACAUUUAUUCAAGCAGAAAUCAGAGAAGUUACAUAGGUUAGAAUAUUUCAGAAAAUAGUGAAUGAACUUUCCUACUGGGAGCAAGAGAGCAUGAAUGAUCGGGGCCUUCCCUGGAGAAACGAAUUCUAUUAAUAACUGAUAUUAUGGGUAGAAUUUCAUCUGGAUCUUAGAUUCUUUAUCGUUGUUCAGUCUUGUCUGACUCCCUGCUCCCGCUUGGGGUUUUCUUGGCAAAAGCACUGGGAUGGUUCGUGCUUUCUUUCUCCAGGUCGUGUGACAGAGGAGGAGACUGAGGCGAGCAGGGUGGUGACUUGCCCAGGAUCACCCCCCAGUCAGCGUCUGAGGCAGGGGUUGCGCUGGGGCGCCAGGUCCCACAGCAGCCGAUAGUUAGGGCAUCACCGAGUUCUCAGAGGGACGAUUCUUCCCAUUUUUUACAGAGGGAAGAGACUGCAGAGAGGGUGAGCCAUUGUGCAGCAUGUAUGGGGGGGGGCGGGGACCCCCCACCAGGCUGGGACCCUGACCCAAUUCUCUCAUUUUACAAACGAGGAAACUGAGUCUCGGAAGGAAAGGACAUGCUCAAGCUCAUAAUCACAAGGUUGGGGGAGGGGUCAGAGAGAGGAGGCUUUCGCUAUGGGAUGGCCGCCCCUCGGCAUUCUGGGAACCGAAGGGCCUCUAGUCCUUCCGAGCUUACGUGCGCUCCGUGACCAUCC